AACCCAGACUCCUACGGGAGGCAGCAGUGAGGAAUAUUGGUCAAUGGGCGGAAGCCUGAACCAGCCAAGUCGCGUGAGGGACUAAGGCCCUGCGGGUCGUAAACCUCUUUUGCCGGGGAGCAAAGAGCGGGACGCGUCCCGCCUCGAGAGUACCCGGAGAAAAAGCAUCGGCUAACUCCGUGCCAGCAGCCGCGGUAAUACGGAGGAUGCGAGCGUUAUCCGGAUUUAUUGGGUUUAAAGGGUGCGCAGGCGGAAGAUCAAGUCAACGGUAAAAUUGAGAGGCUCAACCUCUUCGAGCCGUUGAAACUGGUUUUCUUGAGUGAGCGAGAAGUAUGCGGAAUGCGUGGUGUAGCGGUGAAAUGCAUAGAUAUCACGCAGAACUCCGAUUGCGAAGGCAGCAUGCCGGCUCCACACUGACGCUGAGGCACGAAAGCGUGGGUAUCGAACAGGAUUAGAUACCCCCGUAAA
rnacentral:rRNA from 1 species